GACAUGUGCUCAUGCAGAUAAGAAAGAAAACUGUUGUAAAACAUGUACCUAUACAGUCCUGAAAUGUUGCAUAAGUUACCCACAGACCACAAAUAACAUCUCCUCCGCCACUCGAAAAAAAGAGGCUUUUGAGUACAUGUUGUCUCUCCAUGCUCCAGAGUAGCUUUUCCUCCUCUAACGUCGGACACAUACCUUCAAACACAUGUUGGGUAUUCAGUGAAGAAGUCAGGAUAAAUAGCUGCCCAGAGUACAGCAUUUUGGGAGUCUUUACAAGGCCACCAGUGCACUGCAGAACUGUAGAGGGAGGACUCAUUUAAUCAUUUCAGCUUGUCUACAUUCAGACUGGCACUAAACAGAGUUUUCUAUCAUUCAAUAAUAUAUUAAGCACAACUGAGCAAACCGCAAUGCAGCUUUAAAAGUGGGGAUUAUUUUUCCUGCUUGAAGUGGUAACUGCCCCCAGAAAUGAAGCUGUAAUGCCACUGUAAGCAAAUGUAACCAAUAUUUCUCCCUGGGAUUUAGUAUAGAACACAGAUUCCAAAUUAUUAACGUUUUCCUGAAGUCAUCUCAGGAAGUGUUGCUGCAUUGAUUGAAACUGAGCCGGGAACAGAGCAGAUGUUAAAAACUUCAGCAACCACAUCUUAA